UGACUAAGCAACCCCCAACAUUCUAAGUUCUAAAUACUUCCCUACCCCCCCAACCGCCCCCCCCCCACCUAUAUUUAAGAGAGCAUGAUUCCACAGCUUUCCUACCUACUCCAGUCUUCUCCCAGUCUUCCCUGUUUGGAAAUUCUUCCUUGGGUAUAACUUUAUUUCUUCAGGCUAUAUAGAUUAAUCCCUCUAAAAACCCUCUAAAACAGGUGCUGAGGGAAUCCAAGACAGGGCUUGGGUUAUUAAAUAUAAAUAGACAGGGGAGGGGAACUGAAUAUAGACAGAUAUUUUAUCUCUCAGUCCCUGCAAGUUAUUGGGAAGAAGGCACUAGUGGUUGCUAAGCAACAGGUCUCCAAAGAGGACAAGGCACAAGAGGAAAAAACCUCUUUUGAAUAUUGAGCCUUCCGGAUUGGUGGAAGAAGGCCUCAGGCGCUCCUCCCUUCCAGCCAGGAGGAGGGAACCUGGUUUCCAUAGCAACCCAGAAACAAUCCUGGUCUUGUUUUGCUUAUGGCUUCUCUGUAACCCUCUCAUGGAGCACCAACGAUCAUGGAUCUCUUUCUCUGACCCCCAACUUCUGAUUUGAGGGGGAGGGCCCACAGAAAGAUUAGGGGUGGGAGUGCCAUAGAGUUGGUCUCACUUGGCCCUGAAGUGACCUAUUAAGACUCUAAAGAGGGAGUGACUUUUAAGGAAAAGUGUCUUCUAACCGCUGCACCUCCAAAGGGGUUGCAAAAACAUAAACAAAUGGUGGCAUUAGAUGGAAAUUCUAUGCCCAGGCUUGCUUUCUAAAGGGCAAGUAUAGGUUGGGGUUGGAGGUCAGGAGAGAAUGAGGGGGCAGGGUCUUUUGUGCCCUUUGGUCACCCAGAGCCCUAAUCCUUCCCAACCUAAAGUCCACUGUCGUCAAGACCCGGGAAUGGAGAUAUAGAACAUUAACGUAUGUCAAGUAUAAGUGAGUGGCACCGAGGGGCAUAAUCUGUUUUUCUAAUAUGACCACAAGCAGAGUGUUAGAAGAAUUAGGCCGACAGC
rnacentral:lncRNA from 1 species